rnacentral:rRNA from 1 species
AUACGGAGGGUCCAAGCGUUAUCCGGAAUCAUUGGGUUUAAAGGGUGCGCAGGCGGUUUAUUAAGUCAGUGGCGAAAUCUCGGGGCUCAACCUCGAAACUGCCAUUGAUACUGAUAAACUUGAGUUCAGUUGGAGUAGGCGGAAUGUGUAGUGUAGCGGUGAAAUGCUUAGAUAUUACACAGAACACCGAUAGCGAAGGCAGCUUACUAAACUGAUACUGACGCUGAGGCACGAAAGCGUGGGGAGCGAACAGGAUUAGAAACCCCAGUAGUCC